rnacentral:tRNA from 1 species
GCAGCUUGUGUAGGCCUGCUGCCAGAAAGAAAGGAUGCGGCUGUGCAGAUCCUGAAACUGCUGGUGGAUGCUGGCGCGAGGGCGCGCGACACUGAUGAUGGCGGGCGGACAG